AGGUCAGUAGGUUGGUCGUGCCACCGGUACGUACUGGUCUCACUGAUUCCUCCUUCCUGAAGAACCGUAAUGCCAUUAAUUUGGUGCUGCGGGGAAACAGGACUGUUACUUUGAAAAAAUUAGAGUGUUUAAAGCAAGCUAACGCUUGAAUACAUUAGCAUGGAAUAAUGAAAUAGGACGAUCGAUCCUAUUUUGUUGGUUUCUAGGAUUGACGUA
rnacentral:rRNA from 1 species